AGAGGGACAGCUGGGUCAAGUGGUGGUUCCAUUCCCAGAUUUUCAAGGAAUCUCCAUACUGCUUUCCAAAUUGGCUACACCAAUUUGCACUCCCACCAGCUAU
rnacentral:pre_miRNA from 1 species